GGGUCAGUAGGUUGGUCGUGCCACCGGUACGUACUAGUCUCACUGAUUCCUCCUUCCUGAAGAACCGUAAUGCCAUUAAUUUGGUGUUGCGGGGAAACAGGACUGUUACUUUGAAAAAUUAGAGUGUUUAAAGCAAGCUAACGCUUGAAUACAUUGGCAUGGAAUAAUGAAAUAGGACGAUCGAUCCUAUUUUGUUGGUUUCUAGGAUUGACGUA
rnacentral:rRNA from 1 species